GUAAACGAUCUACGACAUGCCCAAAGAGAAGAAAAGUACAUACAGGAUGCUUCUACUUAGGGCAUUUUUGGUAGGGAAAGAAAUACAUUAGUAAAAAAGGGACACUUUCUUUUGUCUUAAAGUCUAUGCAACUUAAAGGGGAGUGGGUGGGGGGGAGAUCCUCCAAACCCCCAAAGUCAAAGCAAAUCAAAUUACUCGAGUUGGCUAUGCAAUCCGAAUUGUUGGCUAUGCAAACCACAUCAAGUGAGCCCCGUCUGCUGCAAAACAUCACUUAAGCUGGAGCUCUGACUUAUUGUUCUCUGACUGCCCUGGAGCAAUUUUGUUUUGAAGAGCACAGAACACCCUGUUCUGAAUGUGGCUGGCACAUGAACUCAAUGUGCUGACAGCAAUUUGUACUCGGAUUAAACUGUGUGUGUGUGUGUGUGUGUGUGUGUGUGUGUACACUGUAGUAACAAAAACUGGAAUGCAAAAACUGUAUAAUUUGUAUUUUAGGAAGCAAAAGUGAGAAAGGCUCCACAACCUAAAAAUAAAGUGCUGUAAACGCUCCAGCCUAAAGACGUAGCUCUGGGGCCCCAAGCUAAAUAAGUCAUGCCUGUGCCUUUGCUUUCGUUCUCAUCUGAGAACAUUAAAACUUCUUGUCCUGAAUAAAACACACGGAGGAAAGAGCCAGAAUGAUAUGCACAUAGUUGCAGAAAAAAGA